AACCCGUGAUUGCUGGGACUGGCUCAAGCUCCACCAGGAGCCGUCGUUCUUUUACAAAGAGGGGUGGAGGUUCCAGUGGAGGCUGUUGUUGCCUUUUUUUUUUUUUUUUUAAUGAAUGGAGGGCGGCGGCGACUGCUGCAGCUGGGCCAGCUGCGCGGGCUGCACCCCCUCCCAGCCUGCGAGAGGAGGAAGCUAGUAGAAGAUUUGUACCAACAAAACCAAGGAGUAAACAACUUGAGAAUAACUGCAUGAGCUCAGGGCUUGGACUGUCAGAUUCCAUUUCUAAGCUUCCAGAAGAGCGACACAUAGACACUGGGGAAGUCAGAGCCUUUGAACUCCAAUGCCAUCCCCGUCACCCACCUCCACCACCAGCACCACCACCGAAUGGCACUUUGGACAAUUUUUCCCUCUCAUGUGACUUUUGUCAUUUCUUACGUCAGUUGGAGCCAGCACCUCUCAAAUCCAUCUUCUAAAACCCAGAAAAUUGUGUGUAACACAUGAUGACUGAAAGGGAGUAGGCUGACCAGUUAAGAGCCUGCCACUGGAAUGGAAGGCUGUGGGAAGGUGAGGGGACGGUGGACAUCAACCGGGAAGAGCUGAAAGAUGGCGUUACCAGGUCCAUUGGAUUCGAAGGGGUCCUCACACGAAGCAGGAAGUCACCCUGUAUCUCAGAACUGUGGAGAUCUCAGUCCGUGGUCAUCUUGUCAUACAUGACAUGGCAGGAGCCAUGGUCCAGGGAACCAGGUGGCUGCCAACUUGCAGAACAGGCGACAAAACCCCAGCCUGGACCCCCAGACCAUGCACUUCUCCCUUUGCCCUGCUUCUCCUCUGCCUGGUACAGGUUUCCAGCCAAGCUCUGCACCGGCUUCUAUGUCUGUUUGUUUUCCUUAGAAGCUUCCUAUAGAAAGCACCAGAGUGGACUACUACAUGGCCAGUAAAGAAAAGAACAA
rnacentral:lncRNA from 1 species